rnacentral:rRNA from 1 species
GAUGAACGCUAGCUACAGGCUUAACACAUGCAAGUCGAGGGGCAGCACAGUGUAGCAAUACAUGGGUGGCGACCGGCGCACGGGUGCGUAACGCGUAUCCAACCUUCCCGUUACUCUUGGAUAGCCUUCCGAAAGGGAGAUUAAUACAAGAUGGUAUUCAAAUUCCGCAUGUUAUUUGAAUUAAAGAUUUAUCGGUAACGGAUGGGGAUGCGUGACAUUAGAUAGUAGGCGGGGUAACGGCCCACCUAGUCUACGAUGUCUAGGGGUUCUGAGAGGAAGGUCCCCCACACUGGAACUGAGACACGGUCCAGACUCCUACGGGAGGCAGCAGUGAGGAAUAUUGGUCAAAUGGUCGGAAGACUGAACCAGCCAAGUAGCGUGAAGGGAUGAAGGUUCUAUGGAUUGUAAACUUCUUUUAUACGGGAAUAAAACCUCCACGUGUGGGAGCUUGUAUGUACCGUAUGAAUAAGCAUCGGCUAACUCCGUGCCAGCAG